CAUCAUUGAAGAUAUGGUUGGG
rnacentral:siRNA from 1 species